UUAUUUGAAGCCAUCGCAAGACCAUUUGUCACUCAACCUCUCAUUUUGUGCUCUUUCUCUGUCAGAUUAUAAGUGGAUUCCCAUCGAAAUGAGCGCACUGACGAAGCGGAUGGAAGACACAGUUUGCCCACAUGUGCCAAUACUCUUCAGCCACCAUCGUUACCCCUAAGCACCAUUGAUGAGGAUGGUGCUCAAGCUAGGGAUCGGCCUCAAUCAGCCCAACGACGCAUGCCUCGUCCCGGCCAAUUUUGUCGACUUUUUGUCAGGAAAAAACAAUUCAGGAUUUUGUCAUGAUGAGCCAACGUCGAUGUACAGCACCGCCCAAGGGUCUGGUCCGAAGCAUGGGACACCUUUUGACCCGAAGGAUUUUUCGCGAUAUUCACCUUAGACAAGUAUUUCGUGGACGAAAACCGGCGAGUGAGGGCAAGAUCUUCCCACGAGACCUUUCACUCAAGCGGAUUAUUUCCCAACAAUGAAUACAUACAAUCAGUAAUCGAUCUAUGUGACAAUGGUUUGGUGUCGACCACCUUGACUGGGUAUAAAGAACAUGAUAACAUAACCAAAAGUCGCAAUUGAAUACGGCACAACAAAUCUUAAUAAAAAUACACACCUAUUUUACUCGAUCA